rnacentral:tRNA from 1 species
UCGGGGUGUAGUUCAGUGGUAGAAUGCUUACCUAGCAUAAAAAAGACCCUGGGUUCAAUCUUCAGUGCCAGAG